UGCAGAAUCCCGCGAACCAUCGAGUCUUUGAACGCAAGUUGCGCCCGAGGCCAUUCGGCCGAGGGCACGCCUGCCUGGGCGUCACGCAAAACACGCUCCCACCCCCUCAUUGGGGGACCGGGACGCGGCAUCUGGCCCCCCGUCGCGCAAGGGGCGGUGGGCCGAAGAUAUGGCUGCCGGCGCAUCGUGCCGGACACAGCGCGUGGUGGGCGACCUCGCUUUACUUACCGCAGUGCAUCCGGUGCGUAGCCGGCGUGAUGGCCUCGAAGGACCCUAUGAACGGUGCGCACGACGCUCCGACCGCGACCCCAGGUCAGGCGGGACUACCCGCUGAAUUUAAGCAUAUAAAUAAGCGGAGGAGAAGAAACUUACGAGGAUUCCCCUAGUAACGGCGAGCGAACCGGGAACAGCCCAGCUUGAGAAUCGGGCGGCCGUGCUGUCCGA
rnacentral:rRNA from 1 species